rnacentral:rRNA from 1 species
AACGAACGCUGGCGGCAUGCCUAACACAUGCAAGUCGAACGAGACCUUCGGGUCUAGUGGCGCACGGGUGCGUAACGCGUGGGAAUCUGCCCUUCGGUUGGGAAUAACUGAGAGAAAUUUCAGCUAAUACCUUAUAAUGUCUUCGGACCAAAGAUUUAUCGCCGAGGGAUGAGCCCGCGUAGGAUUAGGUAGUUGGUGGGGUAAUGGCCUACCAAGCCGACGAUCCUUAGCUGGUCUGAGAGGAUGAUCAGCCACACUGGGACUGAGACACGGCCCAGACGGCAACGGUAGGGAGAGGGGGGAAAGGAGCAAGGGGGGAAGACCGCCGGAUCAUCAGAGGGGGACUGAGUGAGGACGCCCUGAGGGUUGAACAGCUUGUGUACCGGGAAUGUAAAAGACGGAACGGGAAGAAUAAGUCGCGUCGACCCCGGUGCCAGCACGGGAGGUAACAAUCGAAUACAACCCGUCUAAAC